CCUACGGGUGGCUGCAGUGGGGAAUAUUGGACAAUGGGCGAAAGCCUGAUCCAGCCAUGCCGCGUGUGUGAAGAAGGCCUUCGGGUUGUAAAGCACUUUCAGUGGGGAAGAAAGCCUUGGGGCUAAUACCCUCGAGGAAGGACAUCACCCACUGAAGAAGCACCGGCUAACUCCGUGCCAGCAGCCGCGGUAAUACGGAGGGUGCGAGCGUUAAUCGGAAUUACUGGGCGUAAAGCGCGCGUAGGCGGUCUGAUAAGCCGGUUGUGAAAGCCCCGGGCUCAACCUGGGAACGGCAUCCGGAACUGUCAGGCUAGAGUGCAGGAGAGGAAGGUAGAAUUCCCGGUGUAGCGGUGAAAUGCGUAGAGAUCGGGAGGAAUACCAGUGGCGAAGGCGGCCUUCUGGACUGACACUGACGCUGAGGUGCGAAAGCGUGGGUAGCAAACAGGAUUAGAUACCCUAGUAGUC
rnacentral:rRNA from 1 species